CUUUGAAUUGCAUCCAUCCAUCCCCCAUCCAGAGGACAUGUCCCUCCUUUCUCCUCCCAAAUCCAGCACCUGCCAGGAGCCCACUGAUAACCCCCUAGCAGAACAGAAACUCACCUUCACCUCAGCCAGAAGCCUUCAAAACACUCUGAAUUAUCCCCCCCACCCCCUUAAGAAAAUAAAUAAGAGGGAAAUUUUAACCAGAUCAUCUACUUUUUAUUUCAGAGGAAAGAUUUGCAUUAUUUACCUUUAUUUAUAUACAUGUACUUCACAUUUGUAUUUAAAAUGCACAGACCUCCCAAGAAUUUUCUCGUUCCGGCUUUAAAUUAGCUGUUAUUUUACAAUACAAAAAAUUAUACCAAAAAACUGCAAUCCUAAAUGUGUGUAUGUAUAACACCCACAACCCCAGCAAUGAAAUAGUUUACAAUACUUGCUCCUAUUUACAUAUGAAUGCAAUAAAUGCUAAAUUAUACAUAUUAACAAACUAAGCUCAAGUCUGAACACAGAUAAGAAUCAUAAAUAAUUACAGAACAAAGAGGGAAAAAAAUCCAGAAUACAAUUAAUUCAAGGAUCUUAGUUUAAAGAACAUUUAUUGUGCACAAAUUUCAGAGUAAUAUAAAACUCUUUUUUUUCUUUUUUUUUCUUUUUUUUUUUUUUAAUGGACUGACAUGUGAUACACUCUGCGACAAUUGUUACUUUUCUCUUUUUUCCUACUGGUGAGGUUUGUGGAAUCAAUACUAAAUGGAGAGGAAAUGUCUAAAGAAUUCUAGUACCUGGAAGACGCACACAAAUCGUCUGUGUGAACAAAGAAACAGACUGAACAAAACCUGCCCUGAUGCAGAGAAAAUCAGCAGAUACACAUACUGUAGUAGUCCUGGCAUGGAAACUCAGCUUGUUUCAGCAGCUACCAACAGAAAAAGCAGGAAUUUGUCUAAAAUUGCAAAGAACACACCCAAAACUGAGGCGCACACCCCGAGCCAUCCCUUCCCUUCCGUCCCAGCCCAGCCCAGCCCUGUCCCCUGUCCUGCAGCUCCAGGGGCUCUGCCAGGGCACGCAGAGCCUGCUGGCUGCUGUCUCACACAGAGCUUAAUAUCAAUAAAUCCCAGGUAA
rnacentral:lncRNA from 1 species